GAACGGUAACAGGAAGCAGCUUGCUGCUUUGCUGACGAGUGGCGGACGGGUGAGUAAUGUCUGGGAAACUGCCUGAUGGAGGGGGAUAACUACUGGAAACGGUAGCUAAUACCGCAUAACGUCGCAAGACCAAAGAGGGGGACCUUCGGGCCUCUUGCCAUCGGAUGUGCCCAGAUGGGAUUAGCUAGUAGGUGGGGUAAAGGCUCACCUAGGCGACGAUCCCUAGCUGGUCUGAGAGGAUGACCAGCCACACUGGAACUGAGACACGGUCCAGACUCCUACGGGAGGCAGCAGUGGGGAAUAUUGCACAAUGGGCGCAAGCCUGAUGCAGCCAUGCCGCGUGUAUGAAGAAGGCCUUCGGGUUGUAAAGUACUUUCAGCGGGGAGGAAGGGAGUAAAGUUAAUACCUUUGCUCAUUGACGUUACCCGCAGAAGAAGCACCGGCUAACUCCGUGCCAGCAGCCGCGGUAAUACGGAGGGUGCAAGCGUUAAUCGGAAUUACUGGGCGUAAAGCGCACGCAGGCGGUUUGUUAAGUCAGAUGUGAAAUCCCCGGGCUCAACCUGGGAACUGCAUCUGAUACUGGCAAGCUUGAGUCUCGUA
rnacentral:rRNA from 1 species